rnacentral:lncRNA from 1 species
CUUGGUCCUUACAUGCAAAUACUUUAUUGCCUUUGUCAUCCCCCCCUUACUACUCUUUUUAUAUAUAGUCUUUUUCAUCGAGAAAUCAUCCUAUGGGUAUGAUGUUUAUUUAUACAUUGGCGAGGAAUCAUGCCCUAAAUUAGAUAAAUCGAAACCAUCUUUGACAUCAGAUGAAUCAUCCAUUGAGUCAUCUGCAGAAGAAAAGGAUAGAGGUGAGUGAAACUUCGC